rnacentral:lncRNA from 1 species
GAAUGUCAUACCCAGGCUACCCCCUGACAGGCUACCCACCUUUCCCUGGAUAUCCUUCUGCAGGUCAGGAGUCCUCUAUCCCCACUUUGGGUCAGUAUCCGUACCCUAGUGGCUUUCCACCAAUGGGAGGAGGUGCUUACCCACCAGCUCCUAGUGGUGGCUACCCAGGAGCUGGAAGCUACCCCACACCUGGAGGUUAUCCAGCCGCUGGGGGCUAUCCUGGAACCCUAAAUCCAGGGGGUCCUCCAGCCUAUCCUGGAGGCCAAGGCUUUGGGGCCCCACCCGGUGAAGCAGGCUUUUCUGACUAUCCACAGCCACCUGCACAGUCUUACGGCGGUGGACCAGCCCAGGUUCCAGUCCCAGGUGGCUUUCCUGGACGGCAGAUGCUGUCUCAGUACCCCGGAGGACAAUCUCCCUACCCUGACCAGCCUUCAGUGACUCAGGGCACCCAAGGAACAAUCUGCCCAGCCUCCAACUUCGAUGCUAUGAGAGAUGCAAAAAUUCUCCGCAAAGCAAUAAAGCGGUUUGGGACUGAUGAGCAAGCGAUUGUGGAUGUUGUGUCUAACCGUUCCAAUGACCAGAGGCAACAAAUUAAAGCAGAUUUUGAGACUAUGUAUGGCAAGGAUUUAAUUAAAGAUCUCAAGUCAGAGUUGAGUGGAAACAUGGAAGAAUUAAUCCUUGCCCUGG